GAUGAACGCUGGCGGCGUGCUUAACACAUGCAAGUCGAACGAAGCACCUUGAUUUGAUUCUUCGGAUGAAGAUCUUGGUGACUGAGUGGCGGACGGGUGAGUAACGCGUGGGUCACCUGCCUCAUACAGGGGGAUAACAGUUAGAAAUGACUGCUAAUACCGCAUAAGACCACAGCACCGCAUGGUGCAGGGGUAAAAACUCCGGUGGUAUGAGAUGGACCCGCGUCUGAUUAGGUAGUUGGUGGGGUAACGGCCUACCAAGCCGACGAUCAGUAGCCGACCUGAGAGGGUGACCGGCCACAUUGGGACUGAGACACGGCCCAAACUCCUACGGGAGGCAGCAGUGGGGAAUAUUGCACAAUGGGGGAAACCCUGAUGCAGCGACGCCGCGUGAGCGAUGAAGUAUUUCGGUAUGUAAAGCUCUAUCAGCAGGGAAGAAAAUGACGGUACCUGACUAAGAAGCACCGGCUAAAUACGUG
rnacentral:rRNA from 1 species